rnacentral:rRNA from 1 species
AACGAACGCUGGCGGCAUGCCUAACACAGGCAAGUCGAACGAGAUCUUCGGGUCUAGUGGCGCACGGGUGCGUAACGCGUGGGAAUCUGCCCUUUGGUUCGGAAUAACAGUUGGAAACGACUGCUGAUACCGGAUGAUGACGAAAGUCCAAAGAUUUAUCGCCAGAGGAUGAGCCCGCGUAGGAUUAGCUAGUUGGUGUGGUAAAGGCGCACCAAGGCGACGAUCCUUAGCUGGUCUGAGAGGAUGAUCAGCCACACUGGGACUGAGACACGGCCCAGACUCCUACGGGAGGCAGCAGUGGGGAAUAUUGGACAAUGGGCGAAAGCCUGAUCCAGCAAUGCCGCGUGAGUGAUGAAGGCCUUAGGGUUGUAAAGCUCUUUUACCCGGGAUGAUAAUGACAGUACCGGGAGAAUAAGCUCCGGCUAACUCCGUGCCAGCCGCCGCCGUAAAAC